CGCCCGGUAGUUCAGUGGUUAGAGCGCUGGCUUCUCAAGCCAGAAGACCGGGGUUCGAUUCACCGGCCGGGUGG